AUUGAACGCUGGCGGCAGGCUUAACACAUGCAAGUCGAGCGGGGUGAUGGUGCUUGCACUAUCACUUAGCGGCGGACGGGUGAGUAAUGCUUAGGAAUCUGCCUAUUAGUGGGGGACAACAUCUCGAAAGGGAUGCUAAUACCGCAUACGUCCUACGGGAGAAAGCAGGGGAUCACUUGUGACCUUGCGCUAAUAGAUGAGCCUAAGUCGGAUUAGCUAGUUGGUGGGGUAAAGGCCUACCAAGGCGACGAUCUGUAGCGGGUCGGAGAGGAUGAUCCGCAACACUGGGACUGGGACACGGCCCAGACUCCUACGGGAGGCAGCAGUGGGGAAUAUUGGACAAUGGGGGGAACCCUGAUCCAGCCAUGCCGCGUGUGUGAAGAAGGCCUUAUGGUUGUAAAGCACUUUAAGCGAGGAGGAGGCUCUUUUGGUUAAUACCCAAGAUGAGUGGACGUUACUCGCAGAAUAAGCACCGGCUAACUCUGUGCCAGCCGCCGCGGUAA
rnacentral:rRNA from 1 species